rnacentral:rRNA from 1 species
ACUAUAUUAAAGUUGUUGCAGUUAAAAAGCUCGUAGUUGGAUUUCGGAAGGUCCUUAGCAGUCCGCCCCUUCGGGGAGCGGGUUGCUGGCCUCCUAUGUUCCUAACGGUCCUCAUCCGCGAGGGUGGGGAAUCAACCGCUAGGAUCGUUUACUUUGAGGAAAUUAGAGUGUUCAAAGCAGGCGUAACUCGCCUCCGAAUACGUUAGCAUGGGAUAAUGGAAUACGACUUCGGUCUUGUUUCGUUGGUUUCGCUUGGCUGAAGUAAUGAUUGAUAGGGACAGUUGGGGGCAUUAGUAUUUAGUUGUCAGAGGUGAAAUUCUAGGAUUUACUAAAGACUGACCAAUGCGAAAGCAUUUGCCAAGGAUGUUUUCAUUAAUCAAGAACGAAAGUAGGGGGAUCGAAGACGAUCAGAUACCGUCGUAGUCUCUACCGUAAACUAUGCCGACCAGGGAUCCGGAGAGUUUGCAUGGAUGACUCCCCGGGCACCUUGUGAGAAAUCAUAAGUGUUUGGGUUUUGGGGGGAGUAUGGUCGCAAGGCUGAAACUUAAAGGAAUUGACGGAAGGGCACCACCAGGAGUGGAACCUGCGGCUUAAUUUGACUCAACACGGGGAAACUUACGAGGUCAGGACACUGUGAGGAUUGACAGAUUGA